rnacentral:rRNA from 1 species
UACGUAGGGUGCAAGCAUUAAUCGGAAUUAUUGGGCGUAAAGGGCGCGUAGGCGGAUUGAUAAGUCAGAUGUGAAAAUACCAAACUCAACUUUGGUGCUGCAUUUGAAACUGUCUCUCUAGAGGAUUGACGGAGAAAGCGGAAUUCCACGUGUAGCGGUGAAAUGCGUAGAUACGUGGAGGAACACCGGUGGCGAAGGCGGCUUUCUAGUUUAUACCUGACGCUGAGGCGCGAGAGCAAGGGGGAGGCAAACAGG